CUUUUGUCUGUGAAAAAUUCUCUGUCUCUUGUACAUUUGGCCAUGAUAGGGAAAUAGGUAUAGCUAUAAAGAGUGUAGAGAUUUCCAUUGGAGAUAUCAGUGUGAAUUCGAAUGAGGGGUUGCUUGAGAAAAAAAAGAGUUCAUCAGAAUCUUCUUCUGACUCUCAGAAAAAUAUAGGAUCGAGUGAUGAUCCUAACAGCAAAAAACCACCUUCCAACAAGCAGGAAAAAAUUUCAGGCUAUAUUUCAAAGUUUCCUCAAACGGUCAACUUCAAUUUGUCAAAGGUGAACGUUAGUUUUACGCAUCGUGAACGUAAUCUUUAUGUUGAAAAUAACAUCAUCGGCAUCCAAUUCAAAAGCAUCAAAUCACG
rnacentral:sRNA from 1 species